CUUUGCUCUCCUCACUGGGUUCUGUCUGUCCGCUGUCCUUCUGUCCCGAGACGCCUUUUUUCUUCCCGACCAUCUCCCAGGAAUGCUGGAGGUUUGUAAAAGGGAAAGCAGUUAAGCUGAGUCUCAGAACAACCAAGUUAACGUUCCAGAACGCUCCGCGGUCAUUGUUUCAGGGUGGGGUGCUCUCUCAAAACCCAAACCCCCCUCCCCAACCAUGGGACGACAAGGAGAAGAUCAGAAUUUGUCCACAGGUCUGGGGACGUUAGGUUUUCUUCUACCGAGCAUUCUAGAUUAAAGAGCCACCCGGAAAAUGGAAAGAACUCAACGCCAACGUGGGAUAACAGCAAGGAGGCUGCGGAAGUGCUGGAGCUCAGUGAGGAUCAGCAGCCUGCCACUGCACAUGGGGGGGAAGAAUCCAACACCAACAGCCAGCACAGUGGCAGCAGUGGAUGGCAGCGCCCUGCUGGGGGGGCUGCCCACCACAGGGACCCUCAGCAGCUGUCAGGUUCACCCUUUGGGGCGCCUCGUGGCAACUUAAGGAGAGUUCUGUGCUUAUAGAGCUCCGGCUUCACCAACACUGCGCCACCUCCGAGCAGCAGAGCUGUUGCAGAACCACAGUCUGAGGGCACCGCACGGCAGCCACGCAGCGCUCCCUCCCCAUAGGGCUCAUCUCCACUCCCCAACGCUCCGUCUCUUCCCAUCCUAAAGAUCUCACACGCAACCAAAUCGUCGCAUCCGACCAAUCCAGCAGCACUGCGGCCCCGGGGAAGCGAUGCUGUGUGUUUGCAGUCACUUCACCUGCAGUUCCAACAGGGCACGGCUCUGGCAGUGCUCUGCCCCCAACCUUUCUGCAGGAGUUGGGUAUAGUUUGGCAGCUCUGCUCGGCCCCGCUGCGUUUUGGGGACCCUUCAAUCAUUAUGUGCACAAAGAAAGCCACCAAAGAAGUAAUUCUACCAGAAGCACCGUCCUGCAGAGACCGUCAGCUGAGCACACAUCAGCUCCGCUCCAACUCCACUCCUCCACCUGUAACUUCAGCACAGCUCAGGGGCAACAUUUCAAUGCAAACCUUCCCUAUCCCGGCACCCAAACCGUCCCCACGCGUGUAACGAUGCGCUUCACAACGGGUUCGGGGUGGAUUUCUCAACCCUUUCAUCUCCUUUUGUUUUGCUUUAAGAAGGAAAACAAAACCA